rnacentral:misc_RNA from 1 species
AAACUGCGAUAAGUAGUGUGAAUUGCAUUUAGUGAAUCAUCGAGUCUUUGAACGCACCUUGCACUCACUGGUAUUCCGGUGAGUACGCCUGUUUCAGUAUCAUUGAAAACACACAAUCAAAACAUUUUCUUUGGUUUGAUUGGCUUUGGGUCUAUCAAAAAGUUUGGCUUGUUUCUUACAAGCCAAGCGGCCUGAAAUAUAUUGUCUGGCUAAUUGCAUCGUUGAUGAUCGCUAUUAGACUUUGGCUUUUUUAAAUGAACUGGAGGUUGAUUAACCAGUUUUAGCUUUAGUCAAAUGGUCAUUGUAAAAAAAAUCUCGAUCUUGGCUAGGUGUUUAUAGCCGAAAAUUUUUUUUUUGGCUAUAACCGAAACCAAUAUAAUCACAUUUAGUUAUCGAUCUGAAAUCAGGUGGGACUACCCGCUGAACUUAAGC